rnacentral:tRNA from 1 species
UGGCUCAGUGGUAGAGUGCUUGCCUUGCAUGCAUGAGGCCCUGGGUUCGAUUCCUAC